rnacentral:piRNA from 1 species
CUAAGCCAUAAUCUGUUGCCACAA